rnacentral:tRNA from 1 species
UAGGGUGUAAUUCAGUAGCAGAGUGCUGGCCUGGCAUGCUAAGGCCCUGGGUUUGAUCCCCAGCACUUCAA